rnacentral:rRNA from 1 species
AGGGAAUCUUCCGCAAUGGACGAAAGUCUGACGGAGCAACGCCGCGUGAGUGAUGAAGGUUUUCGGAUCGUAAAACUCUGUUGUUAGGGAAGAACAAGUAUCGUUCGAAUAGGGCGGUACCUUGACGGUACCUAACCAGAAAGCCACGGCUAACUACGUGCCAGCAGCCGCGGUAAUACGUAGGUGGCAAGCGUUGUCCGGAAUUAUUGGGCGUAAAGCGCGCGCAGGCGGUUUCUUAAGUCUGAUGUGAAAUCUUGCGGCUCAACCGCAAGCGGCCAUUGGAAACUGGGAGACUUGAGUGCAGAAGAGGAGAGUGGAAUUCCACGUGUAGCGGUGAAAUGCGUAGAGAUGUGGAGGAACACCAGUGGCGAAGGCGACUCUCUGGUCUGUAACUGACGCUGAGGCGCGAAAGCGUGGGGAGCGAAC